GACGAACGCUGGCGGCGUGCUUAACACAUGCAAGUCGAACGAUGAAGCCGGAGCUUGCUCUGGUGAAUUAGUGGCGAACGGGUGAGUAACACGUGAGUAACCUGCCCUUGACUCUUGGAUAACUGCUAGAAAUGGUAGCUAAUACCGGAUACGACCCUCGGAGGCAUCUCCAGGGGGUGGAAAGAAUUUCGGUCAAGGAUGGACUCGCGGCCUAUCAGCUAGUUGGUGAGGUAACGGCUCACCAAGGCGACGACGGGUAGCCGGCCUAAGAGGGUGACCGGCCACACUGGGACUGAGACACGGCCCAGACUCCUACGGGAGGCAGCAGUGGGGAAUAUUGCACAAUGGGCGCAAGCCUGAUGCAGCAACGCCGCGUGAGGGAUGACGGCCUUCGGGUUGUAAAGCUCUUUCGUCCGGGACGAUAAUGACGGUACCGGAAGAAGAAGCCCCGGCUAACUUCGUGCCAGCCGCCGCGGUAA
rnacentral:rRNA from 1 species